rnacentral:rRNA from 1 species
GCGUAUAUUAAAGUUGUUGCAGUUAAAAAGCUCGUAGUUGAAUUUCGGGAUUAGUAGGUUGGUCGUGCCUCCGGUAUGUACUGGCUUUACUGGUUCCUCCUUCUUGAAGAACUGUAAUGUCAUUAAUUUGGUGUUGCAGGGAAACAGGACUGUUACUUUGAAAAAAUUAGAGUGUUUAAAGCAGGCUAACGCUUGAAUACAUUAGCAUGGAAUAAUGAAAUAGGACGUUUGAUCCUAUUUUGUUGGUUUCUAGGAUUGACGUAAUGAUUAAUAGGGAUAGUUGGGGGCAUUAGUAUUCAAUUGUCAGAGGUGAAAUUCUUGGAUUUAUUGAAGACUAACUACUGCGAAAGCAUUUGCCAAGGAUGUUUUCAUUAAUCAAGAACGAAAGUUAGGGGAUCGAAGACGAUCAGAUACCGUCGUAGUCUUAACCAUAAA